rnacentral:rRNA from 1 species
GAUGAACGCUAGCGGCAGGCUUAAUACAUGCAAGUCGAACGGCAAGGACUUUCGGGUCCCUAGAGUGGCGCACGGGUGAGUAACACGUACACAACAUACCCUAUAUUGGAGGAUAGCCUUGGGAAACUGGGGGUAAUAUUCCAUAGUAUUUAUUGGAGGCAUCUCUGAUAAAUUAAAGAGCAAUCGAUAUAGGAUUGGUGUGCGUCCCAUUAGCUAGUUGGUAGGGUAACGGCCUACCAAGGCUACGAUGGGUAGCUGGCGUGAGGGCGCGACCAGCCACACUGGAACUGAGACACGGUCCAGACUCCUACGGGAGGCAGCAGUAGGGAAUAUUGGACAAUGGAGGCAACUCUGAACCAGCCAUGCCGCGUGCAGGAUGACGGCCCUAUGGUUGUAAACUGCUUUUGUACCAGAGAAACCUAUCUACGUGUAGAUAGCUGAUAGUAUGGUAAGAAUAAGCAAUCGGCUAACUUCGUGCC